rnacentral:rRNA from 1 species
UACAGAGGGUGCAAGCGUUGUUCGGAAUUAUUGGGCGUAAAGGGCGCGUAGGCGGCUUAACAAGUCACUUGUGAAAUCUCCGGGCUUAACUCGGAACGGCCAAGUGAAACUGUCAAGCUAGAGUGCAGAAGGGGCAAUCGGAAUUCUUGGUGUAGCGGUGAAAUGCGUAGAUAUCAAGAGGAACACCUGAGGUGAAGACGGGUUGCUGGGCUGACACUGACGCUGAGGCGCGAAAGCCAGGGGAGCAAACGGG